rnacentral:rRNA from 1 species
GACGAACGCUGGCGGCGUGCUUAACACAUGCAAGUCGAACGGAAAGGCCCUGCUUGCAGGGUGCUCGAGUGGCGAACGGGUGAGUAACACGUGGGUGAUCUGCCCCUUACUUUGGGAUAAGCCUGGGAAACUGGGUCUAUUACUGGAUAGGACCAUGCUGUAGGUGGUGUGGUGGAAAGAUUAGUUUCGGUAAGGGAUGAGCUCGCGGCCUAUCAGCUUGUUGGUGGGGUAAUGGCCUACCAAGGCGUCGACGGGUGGCCGGCCUGAGAGGGUGGACGGCCACAUUGGGACUGAGAUACGGCCCAGACUCCUACGGGGGGCAGCAGUGGGGAAUAUUGCACAAUGGCGCAAGCCUGAUGCAGCGACGCCGCGUGGGGGAUGACGGCCUUCGGGUUGUAAACUCCUUUCAGCCAUGACGAAGCCCUUGUGGUGACGGUAGUGGUAGAAGAAGCACCGGCUAACUACGUG